UCAGACCCCAUCAUUUUAUAUGUAGAUUUGGGAUGAUGUUUUCCAAUGUACAUUACUUUGCAUUUAUCAACAUUGAAUUUCAUCUGCCAUUUUACUGCCCAGUCACCCAGUUUCAUGAGAUCCUUUGGUAGCUCUUCACUGUCUGCCUGGGACUUGACUAGCUUGAGUAGUUUUGGAUCGCCUGCAAAUUUUGCCACCUCACUAUUUACUCCUUUUC